rnacentral:rRNA from 1 species
UAAGGUGAAACCGCGAAUGGCUCAUUAAAUCAGUCAUGGUUCCUUAGAACAUACCAUCCUUCUUGGAUAACUGUGGUAAUUCUAGAGCUAAUACAUGCAACUGAGCUCCGACCCUUGUGGAACGAGCGCUUUUAUUAGACCAAAGACCAAUCGGAGCUUCGGCCCCGUCAGUCUGUGGUGACUCUGGAUAACUUUUAGCGGAUCGCACGGUCAUCGUGCCGGCGACUCCUCUUUCAAAUGUCUGCCUUAUCAACUUUCGAUGGUAGGUUAAUUGCCUACCAUGGUUGUAACGGGUGACGGGGAAUCAGGGUUCGAUUCCGGAGAGGGAGCCUGAGAAACGGCUACCACAUCCAAGGAAGGCAGCAGGCACGCAAAUUACCCACUCCCAGUACGGGGAGGUAGUGACGAAAAAUAACAAUGCGGGACUCUUACGAGGCCCCGUAAUUGGAAUGAGUCCACUUUAAAUCCUUUAACGAGGACCUAUUGGAGGGCAAGUCUGGUGCCAGCAGCCGCGGUAAUUCCAGCUCCAAUAGCGUAUACUAAAGUUGUUGCGGUUAAAAAGCUCGUAGUUGGAUGUCAGUUGCGGGCGGGCGGUCCACCGUUUUGGUGGUUUACUGCUCGUCCCGCGACCUACUGGCCGGCCUCCCCCGCUAUGCUCUUCACCGGGUGUGGCGGGUGGCCGGAAAGUUUACUUUGAAAAAAUUAGAGUGCUCUAAGCAGGUGCUUGCCGCCUGAAUAACACAGCAUGGAAUAAUGGAAUAGGACCUCGGUUCUAUUUUGUUGGUUUUCGGAAUUCCGAGGUAAUGAUUAAUAGGGACAGACGGGGGCA